CGUAAGGCACCAAAUGAGUCAUUAAAAAAUUAACAUCAUCCGAUCCCUAGUCGGCAUAGUUUAUGGUUAAGACUACGACGGUAUCUGAUCGUCUUCGAUCCCCCUAACUUUCGUUCUUGAUCAAUGAAAACAUCCUUGGCAAAUGCUUUCGCAGUAGUUAGUCUUCAAUAAAUCCAAGAAUUUCACCUCUGACAAUUGAAUACUAAUGCCCCCAACUAUCCCUAUUAAUCAUUACGUCAAUCCUAGAAACCAACAAAAUAGGAUCGAACGUCCUAUUUCAUUAUUCCAUGCUAAUGUAUUCAAGCGUUAGCUUGCUUU
rnacentral:rRNA from 1 species